AUGGUGCCCCCCUUGUGGUCGGUAUACAGGUGGUGCAUGGCUGUCGUCAGUGGGGAGCGGAUGUUGGGUUAAGUCCCGCAACGAGCGCAACUUUGAAUCUGUGUUGCCAGCAUGCCCUUCGGGGUGAUGGGGACUCACAGGAGACUGCCGGGGUCAACUCGGAGGAAGGUGGGGACGACGUCAAGUCAUCAUGCCCCUUAUGUCUUGGGCUGCACACGUGCUACAAUGGCCGGUACAAUGAGCUGCGAUGCCGCGAGGCGGAGCGAAUCUCAAAAAGCCGGUCUCAGUUCGGAUUGGGGUCUGCAACUCGACCCCAUGAAGUCGGAGUUGCUAGUAAUCGCAGAUCAGCAUUGCUGCGGUGAAUACGUUCCCGGGUCUUGUACACACCGA
rnacentral:rRNA from 1 species